CUGAAGAUGGGGGGACCAUCCUCCAAGGCUAAAUACUCGUGAUCGACCGAUAGUGAACCAGUACCGUGAGGGAAAGGCGAAAAGAACCCCGGGAGGGGAGUGAAAUAGAUCCUGAAACCGCAUGCAUACAAACAGUCGGAGCCUCGUAAGGGGUGACGGCGUACCUUUUGUAUAAUGGGUCAGCGACUUACGUUCAGUAGCAAGCUUAACCGUAUAGGGCAGGCGUAGCGAAAGCGAGUCCGAAUAGGGCGUUCAGUUGCUGGGCGUAGACCCGAAACCAGGUGAUCUAUCCAUGGCCAGGAUGAAGGUGCGGUAACACGUACUGGAGGUCCGAACCCACUAACGUUGAAAAGUUAGGGGAUGAGCUGUGGAUAGGGGUGAAAGGCUAAACAAACCUGGAAAUAGCUGGUUCUCUCCGAAAACUAUUUAGGUAGUGCCUCGUGUCUCACCUUCGGGGGUAGAGCACUGUCAUGGUUGGGGGGUCUAUUGCAGAUUACCCCGCCAUAGCAAACUCCGAAUACCGAAGAGUGCAAUCACGGGAGACAGACAUCGGGUGCUAACGUCCGGUGUCAAGAGGGAAACAACCCAGACCGCCAGCUAAGGUCCCCAAAUAUGGCUAAGUGGGAAACGAAGUGGGAAGGCUAAAACAGUCAGGAGGUUGGCUUAGAAGCAGCCACCCUUUAAAGAAAGCGUAAUAGCUCACUGAUCGAGUCGUCCUGCGCGGAAGAUGUAACGGGGCUAAGCCAUAUACCGAAGCUGCGGAUGCGUGCUUGCACGCAUGGUAGGAGAGCGUUCCGUAAGCCUGCGAAGGUGCCUUGUAAAGGGUGCUGGAGGUAUCGGAAGUGCGAAUGCUGACAUGAGUAGCGAUAAAGGGGGUGAAAGGCCCCCUCGCCGUAAGCCCAAGGUUUCCUACGCAACGUUCAUCGGCGUAGGGUGAGUCGGCCCCUAAGGCGAGGCAGAAAUGCGUAGCUGAUGGGAAGCAGGUCAAUAUUCCUGCACC
rnacentral:rRNA from 1 species